rnacentral:rRNA from 1 species
AUUGAACGCUGGCGGCAGGCCUACAACAUGCAAGUCGAGCGGAGCGGCGGGCGGGUGAGUAAUGACUAGGAAUCUGCCUGGUAGUGGGGGAUAAAGUCCGGAAAAGGGCGAUGCUACCGCAUCCUAUCAGCUGAGCCUAUGUCGGAUGAGCUAGAUGGUGGGGUAAAGGCCUACAAAGGCGACGAUCCGUAACUGGUCUGAGAGGAUGAUCAGUCACACUGGACCUGAGACACGGUCCAGACUCGUACGGGAGGCAGCCGUGGGGAAUCUUGCACAAUGGGGGAAAGCCUGAACCAGUCAUGCCGCGUGUGGUAAGAAGGCAUUCGGAUUGGAAAGCACUUUAAGUUGGGCGGCGUUACCAACAGAAUAAGCACCGGCUAACUUCGUGCCAGCAGCCGCGGUAAUAC